GAAUAUUUGACACUGGGGGGAACCCUGAUCCGGCCAUGCCGCGUGUGUGAAGAAGGCCUUUUGGUUGUAAAGCACUUUAAGCGAGGAGGAGGAGCUCUCGGUUAAUACUCAAGAUGAUUGGACGUUCCUCGCAGAAUAAGCACCGGCGAACUCUGUGCCAGCAGCCGCGGUAAUACAGAGGGUGCAAGCGUUAAUCGGAUUUACUGGGGGUAAAGCGCGCGUAGGUGGCCAAUUAAGUCAAAUGUGAAAUCCCCGAGCUUAACUUGGGAAUUGCAUUCGAUACUGGUUGGCUAGAGUAUGGGGGAGGAUGGUAGAAUUCCAGGUGUAGCGGUGGAAGGCGUAGAGAUCUGGAGGAAUACCGAUGGCGGAGGCAGCCAUCUGGCCUAAUACUGACACUGAGGUGCGAAAGCAUGGGGAGCAAACA
rnacentral:rRNA from 1 species